AGGCAUUUUGCAAGGUAAUUUUUAAAAAUUAAGCAUGUUAAACAAGUGUGUCAAUUGCAUGUUGAACAAGUGUGCAAAUAAGCAUUAGACAAGUGGUUGAGGAAUGGUAGGACAAGUGUAUAGGGGGUAGCUGUCAAGGACACUUGGGGGGUUUUUUGGGGGGCAUCGGAAAAAAAGGAAGAAAAAACCCUCGAAGAGGCUUGAAAACAGGGGGAAGAGAAAAGAGCUAAAAAUAGAGGGGCCAAGCAGCGGGCAAGGGGAAAAAACAGAGGCUAGACAAAACAAGGGGAAGCUGGGGGCUAAGAAUCUGAGGAAAAAAGGGAAAAAACACGGAGAAAAGGCCGAGGAGGGUGGCGGCUAAAAGGGAGAGCAAAAAGCAAAAAGGCUUGAGAGCUGAGAGGGCAGGGGCGGCGGAAUUGCCGAGCAGGGGCAAAAGAACAAAAACAGAAAAAUUUCGUCCGAGAGCAAAAGAAAGGAAAGCAGGAAAAAAGAGGAACCGGGCGGCGGGCUGAGCAUAAAUGGAAGAAACAAUCAACGAAAAACAGCAAAAGGGAAAAUAGGGGAGGUUUUGGCCAAAAAGAACAGAGCGACAUGAAGAAUAGAGGAAAAGUCCCCGGCCGCGAACGGAAGCAGAGGAAGAAAGCUUCAGCAAAAAUAAAGGGCAAAUUCGAAAAGCUUGUAGCUGCUGCCGUUCACUGGAAUCACCAUUGCUCGCCACCGCAUCAGCGGAAUUCACCGCUGCCGCUCGUGAAUCUUCACCGUGAGAAACGAUGUAAGCUAUUCUUUCCCUUUUACAUUUCAGUUUUUUUUUUCUUCAAGAAUGAAUUUCAGAAGCAUGGCUGCCGUGGGUCUGUCAUCAUGAUUUUUUUUUCUGUUAAGGGUCGGUAAUUUUGUUCGCAUAUGUUUUCUGCGUGUGUUGGACUGAAUUCCUUGCUUUUCUGAUAAUUUUGGGGCCGGUUGUAAUGUAAUUUAAGCAGAAAUCUGUUGAGUUUUUUCAUGCCCAUUUGCUGUUUGCUAAAAUGCCCGAAUGAACCUUCUACUUGAAGAUGAUUUCGUUUGCUUUACGUACGAAGAAAAUGGAACAUUCGGAUGGUUUUUGCUUGUCCGAACAUAAUGAACGAUUCUCCAUGAUAGAAGCUGUGUUGGUUCGUUGUUUUUUUUUUCUGUUUUUUUAUCUCUAUGCUUGAAUCCGAAUCGAUGUUGAGAGGGAGUAUUGUUGUGAGUUUCAUUGUUUGCUGGAAUGAUUGGAAUCGAAACCAAAUUUCUGGUUUUGCUAAUCGAAAGGAAAGCUGAAAUGCUUAACUGGUAUCAGCAAUGAAGAGGAAAGCCUCUGCGAAACAUGAGUGAAGAAAUGUCUAAAAUUGCAAUUUAAUCCCUCAUUUUCUGUCUCAUUUCAUUACGGCCCAAAAUCUGGAAAAAUCAAACUAAUUUUGCCCUUUUAAGCUUAUUCCUCUGUUUGCAUAUUUUAUGUGAUUUGUUGGAUAGAUUAAUUCUGGGAUUUGGAUUAUAAUUAUGGCCUAAUAAUUUUAGUUGAUUUGCUAAUCUUGUUAGGUUUGAUAUUAUGAUUUGGGUUGUGGGUAAUAAUAAUUUGUUUGGAUUUAUGAAAGUGGGUUUAGUUUAUUUUGUUUGGAUUUUUUGCUUGGGCUUAAGGGGGGCUAAAGCCCACUCUUUUGUUGGGUUUGUUUUAUUGAUAAGUAGAGGCCAGCCCACAUGUAGCCUCUGGGCUUUGUGGCAGGCUAAGGAGUCUUGGCCCAAACAAAUAGAGAGAAGGGCCCAAUGGCCUGUUAAGUCCAGUAGCCCAAUGACGAAAUUUCAUUCCAGUCCCCUGACUUUUGGAUAUUUUUACUGUGGCCCUAGACAUUUCCAUUCCUUUCAAUUGAGUCCCUGGUUUAAUUGCAAAUAGGCCCUUGAACUUUAUUUUUCUUUAAUUUUGGCCCCAAAAUUUUUUCAAUCUUUGCAAUCAAGUCCUCUCUUCUCUUGACUUCUUAAAUGUGGUUUGUUGACAUGAUUUAAUUGAUUCAAAUUCAUGUUUAUUUUUAUCCUUUGUGAUUAUUUGCCAAAUAAAUUGGUGCCUUGACCAUUUCUUUUAUUUUGGAGGAUAAAUAAGUGAUUUCACUUCAGUGGGGCCCAAUUACAAGGGAGGUAACCUAUAUCUCCUUGAUUUUUAUUUCUCCUAUGUGAUCCAACGUGCUAAGUGUGAAUUGCAUGUCUACGUUGCUUUCCUUGCCAUUCCUUUAACUCCUUUCAUUUAUUUCAUUUACUUUUGCUUUUUAUUUAAAUUAUUCUUUAUGGGGUAUGUGUACACCUCUUGGCUUGUAAUAGUUAGGGAUUCAAUUAUUUUAUUCCCUUUCCCCCUUUUAGAUUGUAGUAGGGUCCCCCUAAUGUAAUAGAUAAGGCUUGGAGGAGCAUUCAAUGAAGACCUAUCGAAGACUUGUGCCUAGCUAGCAAAUGUAAUAGUUAGGGCUUUAAUUGUCUCAUGUGCCUUGCAUGCUUAGUUGCUACGUGUUAAUUUGCUUUGCUAGGGCCUUGCAUCUAGUCGAGCAUGCAAAAUGUUAUGUGCUAUGUGUUUAUAAGUGUUUGGCAUGUCUACUCGCUUUCCAUAGCCUGAAUAAAUGUGAUGGAUGAAUGUACGUCACCACACUAGUCCAAUGCUAGUUGUGGCUCAUUAUUUCAUUAGGAAUUCAUAGAAAGGGCUAGUCCAACGCUAGACCCAAUAGGAUUUUUCCUUUGUUUUUCAUUAAUGCAUUAUUUGCCUGUUCACUACAUAUCAUGCAUUUUUCCUUAGUUUUAUCAUCUGGCAUGCUCCUCGAUUCCCCUUUCCCCUCAUUUUAGGAUUUUUGCAUUUCAUGCUAGUUAUAGGGUUCAUUUGCCUGAAGAGUCCCCUUCUGAUAAGGGAAACGAGCGAGUGUGGCUACUCGAUAGCCUUAGCACACUAGUUUCGCCUUCUAAUCAAAGGGAAGAUUAAGUCACAAAGUUAGGACUCCCCGUUCCCGUCUUGAUGCAUUCCUAUAGGAUUCAUGCAUUCUAUUCAUUCACUAUCACAUACACUUACUUUAUAUUCUAACCCUUUUUCCACAUUCUCACUUCACACUACUUUUACACGUUUUCAUUUAACUACUCACACUCUAUGCCAUAUCACUCGCACACAUGCACUUUAUAUUAUUUUCACAUUAUCAUUCUUUACUCACCUUACCUUGUAAAUACAUUUGCACACCUCCACUUUUCUCACUUCACAUAAACUUACAUUUUCACAUGACAUGCACCCCAUUCAUUUUUACGUCAUUUAGGAUUACGUGUGACCUCUCCAAAGGAUCAUUAUUGGGCUUCACAAUUAAUGUGAUUGGCACCACUCAACCUUUGAAGAGAAAUUUCCCCCAAUACCCCUAGGUCUAGGGUUUUGCAUUCAUAUAGACAUAUCCAACACGCGAUACAUACCUUGGGUAGAAAAAUUAGGAAAAAUUGGUUUAAGUCACGCAACUAGCCUUGGCUAGGUCGAAGGGG
rnacentral:lncRNA from 1 species